CUGGAGCUUUCCCGCCGAGCUUGCAGGUCACAUGUCUGCCUCUUGUCUGCCGUAUUGCAGCCUGCCUUGCCUCAACCGCGGCCGCUGCGUCGCCCCCGAGGAGUGUCUGUGCGCGGAAGGAUUCUUCGGAGUGCAGUGCGAGCAGCGAUACGGCGAGACAGUCGAGGGUCAAGAGUGCCACUUCCCCUUCCUGCACGAGGGUCACUGGCACUACAGCUGCACGAUGGAGGGAUCGUCUCUCCCUUGGUGCGCCACAGCCGUCAACGAGCAGAGCUUGGUGAUUCAGUGGGCUGUGUGUGUCGCGUCUGUAGGUG